UUUUUAAAAGACCUAGCAAUAGGUAUGCUUAGGGAAGAGCUUGCGUCACAUUAGUUAGUUGGUGGGGUAAUGGCCUACCAAGACGAUGAUGUGUAGCCGGGCUGAGAGGUCGAACGGCCACAUUGGGACUGAGACACGGCCCAAACUCCUACGGGAGGCAGCAGUAAGGAAUUUUCGGCAAUGGAGGAAACUCUGACCGAGCAAUGCCGCGUGAACGAUGAAGUAUUUCGGUACGUAAAGUUCUUUUAUUAGGGAAGAAAAGAUGGUGGAAAAACCAUUAUGACGGUACCUAAUGAAUAAGCCCCGGCUAACUAUGUGCCAGCAGCCGCGGUAAUACAUAGGGGGCAAGCGUUAUCCGGAAUUAUUGGGCGUAAAGGGUGCGUAGGCGGUUAAAUAAGUUUAUGGUCUAAGUGCAACGCUCAACGUUGUGAUGCUAUAAAAACUGUUUAGCUAGAGUUGGAUAGAGGCAAGUGGAAUUCCGUGUGUAGUGGUAAAAUGCGUAAAUAUACGGAGGAACACCAGAAGCGAAGGCGGCUUGCUGGGUCUUAACUGACGCUGAGGCACGAAAGCGUGGGGAGCAAACAGGAUUAGAUACCCUGGUAGUCCACGCCCUAAACGAUGAGUACUAAACGUUGGAUAAAACCAGUGUUGAAGUUAACACAUUAAGUACUCCGCCUGAGUAGUACGUACGCAAGUAUGAAACUUAAAGGAAUUGACGGGACUCCGCACAAGCGGUGGAUCAUGUUGUUUAAUUCGAAGGUACCCGAAAAACCUCACCAGGUCUUGACAUGCUUUUGCAAAGCUGUAGAAAUACAGUGGAGGUUAUCAAAAGCACAGGUGGUGCAUGGUUGUCGUCAGCUCGUGUCGUGAGAUGUUGGGUUAAGUCCCGCAACGAGCGCAACCCUUGUUGUUAAUUGCCAUCAUUAAGUUGGGGACUUUAGCAAGACUGCCAAUGAUAAAUUGGAGGAAGGUGGGGACGACGUCAAAUCAUCAUGCCCCUUAUGACCUGGGCUACAAACGUGAUACAAUGGCUGUUACAAAGGGUAGCUAAAGCGUAAGCUUCUGGCGAAUCUCAAAAAAGCAGUCUCAGUUCGGAUUGAAGUCUGCAACUCGACUUCAUGAAGUUGGAAUCGCUAGUAAUCGCGAAUCAGCAUGUCGCGGUGAAUACGUUCUCGGGGUUUGUACACACCGCCCGUCAAACCACGAAAGUUGGCAAUACCCAAAGCCGGUGGCCUAACUUGAGCAAUCAAGAAGGAGCCGUCUAAGGUAGGGUUGAUGAUUGGGGUUAAGUCGUAACAAGGUAUCCCUACCGGAAGGUGGGGAUGGAUCACCUCCUUUCU
rnacentral:rRNA from 1 species